CUGUGAUGUCCUAUGUUCAAAUCUGCAGUUUUAUAGUAAUAUUUAGUUAUUUUCUGUCUGAUUAUUUUACUUUGUAACUUAUAACUUUGUACAUUAAACCACAAUUUCUCCUUUUUCGCAGCUCUUCCUUCAGCUAAUCUAAUAGCGAAUAAACACACGAUCACAGAGUCAGACUCAGUUACGCUGCAUUGUCAGACUCCGUCAUAUAUUGCUGUGGAUCAGUGUUAUUUCUAUUCUGAUCGAGGACAAACUUCUAAAAUCUUCCCCUGCCUGCAGACACUGACAGGAACUGAUCUACUGUCUAUGUCACGGCAGCGUCCACCUGCUAAUGUUGAAGUCAAGUGUUUUUAUACUGUAAAGUAUGAAGACACACGUCCUCCAUCUCCACACAGUGACUCAGUCUCUAUCGCUGUACACAGUAAGCAGCUGCCUUUAGAUUUGAUGGGAUUGAUUGAACUGACUUGAAUCACAGUAAAAACAUUUUGAAUUGUGACAAUCUGACCUGAAUAUCAGAGUUUAAACAUAAUGUACUUGAUGCCAGAAUUACAAACAUUCAUUGUCUUUAUGUUUUGAAGGUCAAAAACCAGAGAUGAGCUGUUCUGAUUUCAGUGACCACGUUGUCUUCACUUGCAUUUUGCCUGAAUCUGUUGAACAUGGUACAAAAUGUAACUUGUACAUUGGAGAAGCACAUCAUCCAGUUUCAACAACAACCGACAUGAAGAAAACCACCUCAAGAAAACAGCAGUUGUGUCAGUUUUAUAUCACGAGAGACGAUUUGCUGAAACUCCUACAAUCAGUUCAGCUAAAGGAGGCCAGCUGUGAUUACAGCCUGGAACAUGAACCCAACUUUUCUUCUGCUCGUAGUGAUGGAUGCAGCUUGACUGAUUCAUUUUCUGGUAUAAAAACACAAGGUCUGGUUCCACCUGAGCUGACAGUGACUCCACUGGUGAUCACAGAGUCAGACUCAGUCACUGUGAACUGUCAGACUCCAUCAUCUGUUCCUCUGAGUCAGUGUUACUUUAACUUUGGUAAAGACAAACCUGCCAAACCCUUCUCUUGUCAGAAGACGCUGACAGGAACUGAACUGCUGCAAAUCACAAACCAAAAUUCACCUGCUGAAGUUGCAGUCAGCUGUUUUUACCUUAAAACGCAUCGGGCUCCAAACAGUAAUGUGUUCUCCAUCAGCAUACGACGUGAGUAAAUACUGUGAUAUGAACUAAUGUCAGAAGAAAUAAUGUAACAAUCAGAUCUGAUAAUUUAAAAAAGUAAAUUAUAUAAAUUUACAUGCUGACACUUCACAUGUUUUAAAUGUUAAUUCAUUGUUGCUACUUGACAUGUUGUAAAUGUUAAUUCUUCAUCAGACUUCACGUUUAGAUCAACACAGUUUCAGUCAUGUGAUCCAACACAUCUUUAUCUUUUCAGUACCUCGGCCUGAGCUGACAGUGACUCCACUGGUGAUCACAGAGUCACACUCAGUCACUGUGAACUGUCAGACUCCAUCAUCUGUUCCUGUCUAUCAGUGUUGGCUCUACUCAGUGAGGGAUCAAACCUCCAGAGUCGUCUCUUGUCAUCAGACACUGACAGGAACUGAGCUGAUGAAAAUGACUCAUCAAAGUUCACCUGCUGCAGUU
rnacentral:lncRNA from 1 species